UCUAUGUUCGCCUUAUUCACCCGGAACGUUCUAAAGACGUUGAGGGGUACACUUCAGGGGUACAUUCGGCAACGCACCAGCUGUCAUGGCGCCUCACUGUUGUGUGCCCAAAUGUUCGUCCUCAAAGAGAAAAAAAAUCCUACCGUGGACAGACUUUCCACCGUUUCCCCAAAGAGCAGGCACUUCGCCGUGGAUGUAUAAAUCACAUCUAGAGGGGUCCUGGUCCAUAUUUCAAGAUCAACGCUGAGACCAAGGUUUGCUCUGAGCACUUUGAGAAGCAGUGUUUUGUAAAGACCACCCGUGUUAUCACAAAGCUUAUAAAGGAUGCUGUGCCAACUUUCGCCUGGACUUCAGAGAGGCCAAAGAGGAGAAUCAUCAUUCGCAGACCGAGAGAUGAUGACCCAUUCCUGAAGUUGGACGCCAGAAUGCAGGAAGGUGCUGUUUAAGAGCCUAGGCGGUGGAAGAAGCACUUGCAGGUAUGCUACCGACCAGGCUCCUCAACAUCAAUCCGAGACGGAAGAUGAAACGGGAUGAAGCAGUUAGAUUGAGACAAGGAGGCCGGAAACUUUGAUGACCUCAAUGACACUGGCUAGGUGAAGGACAUCAAGAAAAUGGCAUCAGGUCACCAGACAUCAGCUCAUAAUCCACAACGUUAUCAACCAUUUUGCGCCAAAAAUGAAGCCGUUCACAUACCAUGGCAUCCUAAGCAGGCAGCACUACACUACUGUGCAACAGUGAGAGAGAGUGGGCAAGGACAAGUAAAGCGGACCUACACUACAGCAAGACUUUGACACUUCUCCACGUGAGAGGCAGCCAUCGCCCCCACCGUUGAGCAGUGUGUACCCAGUACCCCCAAAAGAGGAGAUGAUCCGACGCCCUCACAGCCGAUUCCCAAAAUUGUACACA